GUGGAUCAGGCGCUGCCGGGAGGUGGGUGCGCGACGUCUUCGCCCCUCUAAACGCGGCUCCUACUCUGUAGCUAACAGACACCCACAGACAUGUCUGUAGCAUCCUCUGUAACACUGGGACCCGUACUGGCAGCAGGAGCCGUAGGGAGGACCCUGGGACACCUGGAAGCCAGGAAAUGGACUCAGUGACCUUUGAGGAUGUGGCUGUGACCUUCACCCAGGAGGAAUGGGCUUUGCUGGGACCUUCCCAGAAGAAUCUCUACAGAGAUGUGAUGCGGGAAACCUUCAGGAACCUGAUGUCUGUAGCAGUCAUAUGGUAGAGAGAGUCUGUGAAGGUAAAGAAGAUGGUCAAUGUGAAGAAAUCUUAAGCCUUAUUCCACAUGGUAUAACGAAGACGACCAUGUGAAAGCAGUGUGUGUGGAGAAGGCAACAUGGAUCAUUCAUCUCUUAAUUGCUGCAUCAGAGCUGACACUGGACACAAAUCAUAUGAGUAUCAGGAACACAGAAGCCACAUAAGCAGUGUGUGAAAACCUUCAGCUUUUGCCACUCCUUUCAAACGCAUGAAAAGCCUCACACUGGAAAGAAACUCCAUGAUUGUAGGAAAUGUGGAA